rnacentral:rRNA from 1 species
GACGAACGCUGGCGGCAUGCCUAACACAUGCAAGUCGAACGAGACCUUCGGGUCUAGUGGCGCACGGGUGCGUAACGCGGGGGAACCUGCCCUUAGGUUCGGAAUAACUCCCCGAAAGGGGUGCUAAUACCGGAUAAUGUCUUCGGACCAAAGAUUUAUCGCCUUUGGAUGGGCCCGCGUUGGAUUAGCUAGUUGGUAGGGUAAAAGCAUACCAAGGCGACGAUCCAUAGCUGGUCUGAGAGGAUGAUCAGCCACACUGGAACUGAGACACGGCCCAGACUCCUACGGGAGGCAGCAGUGUGGAAUAUAGGACAAGGGGCGAAAGCCUGAUCCAGCAAUGCCGGGGGAGUGAGGAAGGCCUUAGGGUUGUAAAGCUCUUUUACCCGGGACGAUAAUGACAGUACCGGGUGAAUAAGCUCCGGCUAACUCCGUG